GACGAACGCUGGCGGCGUGCUUAACACAUGCAAGUCGAACGCUUAACCCGCCUCGGUGGGGGAUGAGUGGCGAACGGGUGAGUAACACGUGGGCAACCUGCCCCCCGCUCUUGGAUAACACCAAGAAAUUGGGGCUAAUACCGGACGUGACCUCUGGCCGCAUGGUUUGGUGGUGGAAAGGGUUUCCGGCGGGGGAGGGGCCGGCGGCCUAUCGGCUUGUUGGUGGGGUAGUGGCCUACCAAGGCGACGACGGGAAGCCGGCCGGUGGGGGGAACAGGCAGAACUGGGACUGGAACACGGCCGAGCCUCCUGCGGGAGGCAGCGGUGGGAAAUAUGGAGCAUUGGGGGGAAGCCGGAGGCAGCGCGGCGGCGUGGGGAAGAACGGCCUUCGGGUGUAAACCCUCUUUCAGCAGGGACGAAGCGCAAGUGACGUUACCUGCAGAAGAAGCACCGGCCAACUACGUG
rnacentral:rRNA from 1 species